rnacentral:rRNA from 1 species
GACGAACGCUGGCGGCGUGCUUAACACAUGCAAGUCGAACGGAAAGGCCCUGCUUUUGUGGGGUGCUCGAGUGGCGAACGGGUGAGUAACACGUGAGUAACCUGCCCUUGACUUUGGGAUAACUUCAGGAAACUGGGGCUAAUACCGGAUAGGAGCUCCUGCUGCAUGGUGGGGGUUGGAAAGUUUCGGCGGUUGGGGAUGGACUCGCGGCUUAUCAGCUUGUUGGUGGGGUAGUGGCUUACCAAGGCUUUGACGGGUAGCCGGCCUGAGAGGGUGACCGGCCACAUUGGGACUGAGAUACGGCCCAGACUCCUACGGGAGGCAGCAGUGGGGAAUAUUGCACAAUGGGCGAAAGCCUGAGGCAGCAACGCCGCGUGCGGGAUGACGGCCUUCGGGUUGUAAACCGCUUUCGCCUGUGACGAAGCGUGAGUGACGGUAAUGGGUAAAGAAGCACCGGCUAACUACGU